CAGUCGCCGCGGUAAUAUGUAGGGCGCAAGCGUUAUCCGGAAUUAUUGGGCGUAAAGAGCUCGUAGGCGGUUUGUCGCGUCUGCCGUGAAAGUCCGGGGCUCAACCCCGGAUCUGCGGUGGGUACGGGCAGACUAGAGUGAUGUAGGGGAGACUGGAAUUCCUGGUGUAGCGGUGAAAUGCGCAGAUAUCAGGAGGAACACCGAUGGCGAAGGCAGGUCUCUGGGCAUUAACUGACGCUGAGGAGCGAAAGCAUGGGGAGCGAACAGGAUUAGAUACCCCUGUAGUCCCUGUCUCUUAUAC
rnacentral:rRNA from 1 species